UUGAUAGUAAAAUCUGCUCAAUGAAAAUUAAAUAGCCGCAAUUUGUGCUAAGGUAGCAUAAUCAUUUGUCUUUUAAAUGAAGACUAGAACAAAAGAUUUAACUUUUUCAUCUAUUUAUUUAAUUUAAAUUUCAAAACUAUUUUAAGUGUAAAAAAACACUUAUAUAACAAAUAGACGACAAGACCCUAUUGAACUUAACUUAAGUUAAACUGGGGAAGUAAAUUAAUUAUAAUUUUAAUUUUAAAACUUUAAAAAAAAUCUAACUAAUUAAUAAUUCAGUUACCAUAGGGAUAACAGCGCAAUCAUAUUUUAAAGUUCUUAUACAAAAUAUAGCUUACGACCUCGAUGUUGAAUUAAUAACCUAAUUAUAAGCAAAUUUAUAUAAAGGAAGUCUGUUCGACUUUUAAAAAGUUACAUGAUUUGAGUUCAGACCGGUAUAAGCCAGGUCGGUUUCUAUCUUUUAGAAAAAUUAUUACAGUACGAAAGGACCUAAUAAAUUAAUUAAAUUAAUUUAUUAGCAAAUAAAUGCAUUAGAAUUAGAAUCUAAAAAAACU
rnacentral:rRNA from 1 species